CAAUAGCGUAUAUUUAAGUUGUUGCAGUUAAAAAGCUCGUAGUCGGAUUUUGGCUGAGAACGAACGGUCCGCCGUUAGGUGUGCACUGUUUGGUCUCAGCUUCCUGGUGAGGAGGUGUGCUUCGCGGCCACUUAGUCACCGUGGUUACUUUGAAAAAAUUAGAGUGUUCAAAGCGGGCUUACGCUUGAAUAUAUUAGCAUGGAAUAACACCAUAGGACUCCUGUCCUAUUUCGUUGGUCUCGGGACGGGAGUAAUGAUUAAGAGGAACAGUUGGGGGCAUUCGUAUUUCAUUGUCAGAGGUGAAAUUCUUGGAUUUAUGAAAGACGAACUUCUGCGAAAGCAUUUGCCAAGGAUGUUUUCAUUGA
rnacentral:rRNA from 1 species